CCUUCUAAACAGCGUCAAAGCUUAAUUAUAUACCCAAUUAAUUCCCCAAAUAAACCAAAACCCUACUACAAUACUGAAUAAUUCCAUACGUCUAUGGAAAAUAUAAUGUUAAAACUAGUAACAUGAAGUUAAACCCUUCUCUUAAAUGCAAGUAUAGGUCAGCAUGGAACGCACACUGACAAUUAACAGCCUAAACCAAAGUAAUAAAUAACUCAAGAAAACCCUACUAACCCACCUGUUAAUCUAACACAAGAGCAUUUAAAGAAAGACUCAAAGAAAAAGAAGGAACUCGGCAAAACUGAUUCCGCCUGUUUACCAAAAACAUCGCCUCCUGAUCCUAAACCAUAGGAGGUCCCGCCUGCCCAGUGACUCUGUUUAACGGCCGCGGUAUUCUAACCGUGCGAAGGUAGCGUAAUCACCUGUUUUUUAAUUAAAGACCUGUAUGAAAGGCAUCACGAGAAUCACACUGUCUCCUUUCUCAAGUCAGUGAAACUAAUCUCCCCGUGAAAAAGCGGGGAUACCAUUACAAGACGAGAAGACCCUUUGGAGCUUAAGACAAAAUAAAUAUCUGCCAACUUCUACUCCCCAACAUCACACAGCAUCCUAUUUAUAAGUCUUAGGUUGGGGCAACCGCGGGGUAAAAACAAACCCCCGAGCUGAACGGAAAUUUCCUAAACAAAAAGCAACAGCUUUAUGUAUCAGAAGACUGACACAAUUUGACCCAAUACAUUUGAUUAACGAACCAAGUUACCCCAGGGAUAACAGCGCAAUCCACUUAAAGAGUUCAUAUCGAAAAGUGGGCUUACGACCUCGAUGUUGGAUCAAGGUACCCUGGUGGUGCAGCCGCUACCAAAGGUUCGUUUGUUCAACGAUUAAAACCUCACGCG
rnacentral:rRNA from 1 species